GGGAAGGUGGCUCAGUGGUAGAGCGCUUGUCUUGCAUGCAUGAGGCCCUGGAUGCUAUUCCU
rnacentral:tRNA from 1 species